AUCCUUUAAAGAAAGCGUAAUAGCUCACUAGUCGAGUCGGCCUGCGCGGAAGAUGUAACGGGGCUAAACCAGGUACCGAAGCUACGGGUUCAUCCUUACGGAUGAGCGGUAGAGGAGCGUCGUGUAAGCCGAUGAAGGUGUGUUGAGAAGCAUGCUGGAGGUAUCACGAGUGCGAAUGCUGACAUGAGUAACGAUAAAGGGAGUGAAAAACUCCCUCGCCGGAAGACCAAGGGUUUCUGUUCGACGCUAAUCGGAGCAGAGUGAGUCGGCCCCUAAGGCGAGGCCGAAAGGCGUAGUCGAUGGGAAACGGGUCAAUAUUCCCGUACCGGACAUGAUUGCGAUGGGGGGACGGAGAAGGCUAGGUGAGCCAGGCGUUGGUUGUCCUGGUGAAAGUGAGUAGGCUGGGGUCUCAGGUAAAUCCGGGACCCUUCAAGGCCGAGACACGAAACGAAGACACUACGGUGUCGAAGUCAUUGAUGCCACGCUUCCAGGAAAAGCCUCUAAGCUUCAGAUCAUGUGCGACCGUACCCCAAACCGACACAGGUGGUCAGGGUGAGAAUCCCAAGGCGCUUGAGAGAACUCGGGUGAAGGAACUAGGCAAAAUGGUGCCGUAACUUCGGGAGAAGGCACGCCGGCGUAGGGUGACGAGACUUGCUCUCCAAGCCCGAACCGGUCGAAGAUACCAGGUGGCUGCAACUGUUUAGUAAAAACACAGCACUCUGCCAACUCGCAAGAGGACGUAUAGGGUGUGACGCCUGCCCGGUGCCGGAAGGUUAAGUGAUGGGGUGCAAGCUCUUGAUCGAAGCCCCGGUAAACGGCGGCCGUAACUAUAACGGUCCUAAGGUAGCGAAAUUCCUUGUCGGGUAAGUUCCGACCUGCACGAAUGGCGUAAUGAUGGCCACGCUGUCUCCACCCGAGACUCAGUGAAAUUGAAAUCGCCGUGAAGAUGCGGUGUACCCGCGGCUAGACGGAAAGACCCCGUGAACCUUUACUAUAGCUUCACACUGGACGCUGAUGUUGCCUGUGUAGGAUAGCUGGGAGGCUUUGAACCUCGGACGCCAGUUCGAGGGGAGCCAACCUUGAAAUACCAGCCUGGCAUCAUUGGCGUUCUCACUCAGGUCCGUGAUCCGGAUCGAGGACAGUGUGUGGUGGGUAGUUUGACUGGGGCGGUCUCCUCCCAAAGCGUAACGGAGGAGCACGAAGGUACCCUCAGCACGGUCGGACAUCGUGCAAUGAGUGCAAGAGCAUAAGGGUGCUUGACUGCGAGACAGACACGUCGAGCAGGUGCGAAAGCAGGUUCUAGUGAUCCGGUGGUUCUGUAUGGAAGGGCCAUCGCUCAACGGAUAAAAGGUACUCCGGGGAUAACAGGCUGAUACCGCCCAAGAGUUCACAUCGACGGCGGUGUUUGGCACCUCGAUGUCGGCUCAUCACAUCCUGGGGCUGAAGUCGGUCCCAAGGGUAUGGCUGUUCGCCAUUUAAAGUGGUACGCGAGCU
rnacentral:rRNA from 1 species